rnacentral:miRNA from 1 species
CUAAAUCAUGUCGAUCUGGUC